UACGGAGGGGGCUAGCGUUGUUCGGAAUUACUGGGCGUAAAGCGCACGUAGGCGGACCAUUAAGUCAGGGGUGAAAUCCCGGGGCUCAACCUCGGAAUUGCCUUUGAUACUGGUGGUCUUGAGUCCGAGAGAGGUGAGUGGAAUUCCGAGUGUAGAGGUGAAAUUCGUAGAUAUUCGGAGGAACACCAGUGGCGAAGGCGGCUCACUGGCUCGGUACUGACGCUGAGGUGCGAAAGCGUGGGGAGCAAACAGG
rnacentral:misc_RNA from 1 species